GACGUAGGGCGCAAGCGUUGUCCGGAUUUAUUGGGCGUAAAGAGCUCGUAGGCGGCUUGUUGCGUCGUCCGUGAAAACCCGCAGCUCAACUGCGGGCUUGCGGACGAUACGGGCAGGCUGGAGUUCGGUAGGGGAGACUGGAAUUCCUGGUGUAGCGGUGAAAUGCGCAGAUAUCAGGAGGAACACCAACAGCGAAGGCAGAUCUCUGGGACGUAACUGACGCUGAGACGCGAAAGCGUGGGGAGCAAACAGG
rnacentral:rRNA from 1 species